rnacentral:rRNA from 1 species
GACGAGGGAUCCUAGCGUUGCUCGGAAUUAUUGGGCGUAAAGCGGGUGUAGGUGGCUUGGUAAGUCAGAUGUGAAAGCCCUGGGCUUAACCCAGGAAGUGCAUUUGAUACUGCUAAGCUUGAGUGCGAGAGGGGUUAAUAGAAUACCUGGUGUAGUGGUGAAAUACGUAGAUAUCAGGUGGAACACCGGAGGCGAAGGCGGUUAACUGGCUCGACACUGACACUGAGACCCGAAAGUGCGGGGAUCAAACAGG